UACGUAGGGUGCGAGCGUUGUCCGGAAUUACUGGGCGUAAAGGGCUCGUAGGCGGCCAACUAAGUCAGACGUGAAAUCCCUCGGCUUAACCGGGGAACUGCGUCUGAUACUGGAUGGCUUGAGUUUGGGAGAGGGAUGCGGAAUUCCAGGUGUAGCGGUGAAAUGCGUAGAUAUCUGGAGGAACACCGGUGGCGAAGGCGGCAUCCUGGACCAACACUGACGCUGAGGAGCGAAAGCCAGGGGAGCAAACGGG
rnacentral:rRNA from 1 species